AAUAGCUUGAAAUGAGGUAGGCUUAUAAAUAUGGUACCUGCCUAUGGAGAAAAUCAUCAUUUACACAUCUCACUUCUUCCACCAAGUACAGAGUAAGAGAUGGCCGGAAAAUACUCUUUGAUAAAGUUUGCAUUCUUAUUCACUGCCAUUCUAAUGACGGCAAUUACUGUUAAUCUCUCCUCUUUUCAAAAGAUGCAAGCAAUGGCUAUGUUAGAUUUACCCCUCAAUAUGUUAUCGGUGAAACAAAAAUUACUAUCAUCAAUCGAUGGUAUGAAGACAUGUGGGAGAGUUUGUUCUAGCGAUAAGGAUUGUUCAGACGCUUGGGUUUGUUUUUAUUGCAAAUACCACAAAGAAACUGUUCUUGCUCCUGCCUGGAGUGGUUGUGACUGAUGAUAAAAAAAGAUCUUCCUCACAAAUUCUACAAAGUUCUCGAGUGAAAUAAACUUUGGUUGAUGCAGAAAUUUGGUAAUUAUAAACUGUGUGUCUAUGUGAAAUAAACAUUCCCAUAUCGUUUUCUUUC